UACUUCCUUGCAGGUCCCUGUCACACUUCUCUGCUGCAGCUGCUCUCAGCUCCUGCCUGCUGACAGCAGCAGCCUGGGAAACCUCUACUCUUGACUUCAGUAGCACAUUUCAUUUUGAAGCUCCUAGGAGACAAGGAAGGUAACUUCUCUUGAUGUGUCUGCUUGCUCCUCAGCAUGCCCUUUCCCGCUGACUCUCCUUCCUCUAGGCCAUAUCAGCUUCCCAUAAGAAGUACCCAGAUGGGAAGUAAGCUGCCACCUUUCAGGCCUGGCUUUCAGUCCUGCUGCUGGAGUUGGAUCUGUGCUGAAGGAAAGGAGAAGGGAACCUCUUGUCCAGCGGAGACACCAAGCAACUGUCAGAGAACCAAGAGCAGGAAAGAGCUGCUUGGACGCAAUAAAAAAUAUAAAUAAAGUUGAAAAAAAUCUGUGAAGUGUGGAUGAAGGAGGAAAAACAACAGAUCCAGACUCCCCGGUACCAUUCAGUGCUGGCAGAUGCCAAACAUAACAAAUAAGUUUUAUAACAAGCUUUAAGCACUAAUCACCUUCUUCAAGAAAACUGUGAGGUAAGAAAAAACGAGUGUUGAAUUCUGUGCUGUCUCGCUAAGCACUUUUGAAAAAUCCAGAAAACGUGGGUAUCUCAAAUACAGUGAGGGAUCAUAUAUGCAAGAGCAAGCAUUAAACCAGAGUCUAAAACUGAGCAGAAGGGGUUAGGCUAUGGGAGCUGCAUAGAUCCAGAGGUAACAGAUCCCAUCCAGCAAUCUAGAAGAAAGAAGGUACGCCCACCUUCUCCCCUUCCUAAGACCGUAUAUACCCAGACCAUUCUUGAAAGACAUUCUCACGGCUAAAGUGUCUCAUGUAAGAGAUGAUCCCCAGAGAGUAUUCAGCUCUGCAAGCAUUAGAAAGUUUUCUUAUUGUCUACCCCAAAUCUUACAAACUAAGCCUUUUACUUCUUGCCCUAUACAUGGAGAAAUGAAGAAUGAUUGACUAUCACCCUCGUUACAACUUUUUACGUCUUAAGAAACUGGUACGAUGUCCCCCCUUGUUUUCUCAGCUUUUCCUCACAGAUCUUAUUUUUCAUGUUGCUCUCCUUUUGAAGUCUUUUUUGUUUGUCAACAUCUUCUUUACAGUGUGCUGCAGACGUGGUGUUCUUGAUCUGAGGCACUAGUGUUGGGCUGAAUUAAAAUAAAAAACAAAAAACUCUCUUAUAUCUUAUAUAA
rnacentral:lncRNA from 1 species